CGCGUGCGCGGAGCUGAGGCGCGCAUGGCGGCGGGGCUGCGGGAGCCGAGCCCAGGUCACCUUGUAAUGGAAGAGAGUGGAGCUGGCCAUGAUAUUGCUAUGGAAGGAUCUAAUGAUUUGUUCAUAGGCAGCUGUAAUGGUACAGGAGAGUCAGAAACAAAUGAUCAGAUUUUUCAGGAGUUGCUGCUCAAAGUACAUUUUACUGUUUUUCCUCUGUGAAAGCGACUAAGGUGCAUGGAUUCCAGGGAUCUGUUGUUUGGCCAGAGCGACUCUCCCCCAGCCCUGCCCAUCACAGUCCCCCUGUCGGGCAGUCCUCCCCAGGCACGGUCCCGCUCUGCCGAGGAGUUGCACGGGGCAGAGCAGCCCAGGCAGCCCCUGUGUGAGCUGCAGCCCCUGGGAGGGCCCAGUGCACCCAUGAUGAUUGUUGCCAGCCAGUCAGAAAAUGGACAGGUGCUGCAUGUCAUUCCUUCUGCCCAGCCAGGAGUGACCCAAGUAAUUAUUCCUCCAGGUCAGCUUCUGGAUGUGACCAGCACACAGGAUAUUUCAGAAGAGAAGUGUGGUGAUGGGAACCUGCAGACUGUGGUGGUGGCUUCCAUAGCAGACAGUGCAAGCAGUUACAUUCUACAUCCACAGGCAUCUCUCACUGUAUCAAAAAAAACAACCACCAGGGCAGUGGAAGAUUCUUUUCCUGUCCCUCUUCAGCCACUGCCACUAAAUACACCUGCAUGGGCACGCCGUCUCAGGAACUGUGAGAGAAUUGGGGACUCAUACCGCGGCUAUUGUGUGAGCGAGGCAGAGUUAGAGAGCGUCCUGGCGCUCCACAAGCAGCAGACACAGAGCGUGUGGGGCACGCGCCAGUCUCCGAGCCCCGCCAAACCCGCCACACGCUUGAUGUGGAAAUCCCAGUAUGUCCCAUAUGAUGGGAUCCCCUUUGUCAAUGCAGGAAGCAGAGCCAUUGUAAUGGAGUGCCAAUAUGGGCCAAGGAGAAAAGGAUUUCAGCCCAAAAAAGCUGGUGAGCAGGAAAGCACCUCUAGCCAGCUGUACAAAGCCACUUGUCCAGCAAGGAUCUAUAUUAAAAAGGUCCAAAAGUUUCCAGAAUACAGGGUUCCUACUGACCCUAAAAUUGACAAGAAAAUCAUAAGAAUGGAGCAGGAGAAAGCAUUCAACAUGCUGAAGAAGAACUUGAUAGAUGCUGGUGGUGUCCUCAGGUGGUAUGUACAGUUACCUACUCAGCAAGCCCACCAAUAUCAUGAAGUGGAAACUUCCUGCCUCCCUCCUUCACCGUCCCAUCUUUCUGUGUCUUCUCCUGAGGAGGAGGAGGAAGUCAUUAGAGAUGAGAACAGUACUCUGCCUUCUCGACUUCAUCCUCAAGUGGCAGACAAGAUCCGAGAGCUGGUGUCUCAGGGAGUGGAGCAGGUCUAUGCAGUGAGGAAGCAGCUAAGAAAGUAUGUGGAAAGAGAAUUGUUCACACCUGAUGAAGUGCCAGAAAGACAUAACCUGUCCUUCUUCCCCACUGUGAAUGACAUCAAGAACCACAUUCAUGAAGUGCAGAAGUCCCUAAGGAGUGGAGAGAUGGUGUAUAAUUCAGAAAGUAUCCCAGCAACGCUGCAAUGGACCACAGACAGUGGGAAUGUCCUCACAGAAACAGUGACGGUUGCGUUUGCCUCAGCACCUUCAGAUGGGAGCUCAGGAGUGGAGUCAGUCAUCACCAAAGCAGAAUCCAACCAGAGCGGGGAGUCCUUGAUACCAGAAACAGCUCAGCUGUUGUCUUCACUCUCCUCACUUCAGCCCAAGAUAUUUGCACAGCUUCAGGGAUUACAGCUGCAGUCAGCAUUUACCUCGACAAAUGGAUCAACAGCCCUUCUAGCUGUAAAUAACCAUUCACCUCCCAGCCCUGCAGGUCUCCUGGAUUCCCUGGGGGGUGCAAUAGGCAGCCAUUCUCUAGCACUGAGUCAGGGCCACAGUCUGCAAGGUGCUGGCCUGACACAGGACAGUGCUGCUGUGCCUGCUUUUGGGGCUCUGCCUGCCUCUGAUCAGAGUCUGCUUGCCAUGGGCCAGCUGGUACCAGCUGAAGGGGUGGAUGACUCCAGAAGCCUGGAAGGAGGAGUGCAGCAGAUUCUCUUGGGAGAUGUGCAGACUAUCCCAGUACGGAUUGUGGACAGCCAGCCAGCACUUACUGAAGAAAAUACAGAGGGUGUUGUUACUUGUGUGAGCCAAGUUAAACAAGAACCAGGAGAAAAAGCAUUGUCUAUGGAAACAGAUAAAAUCAGAGACUGCCACAGUUCCUCACCAUAGUUCUUCGCCUUCACCUGUGAAGCCUGGAAGGAUUUUCAAAUUGGAGAACUCUAAAUGGCUUGGAAGGAAAGGCAGGUGCUCUCAAAGUACUGCCAUUCUUUUUUAAUUUCUGUAUGCCAUUCAGACUAAGCAUAUUUUAGAGUACUUCUGAUAGAAAGCUGUUUUGGUUGGACUGAUGGGGCUCUCUGCCAACUCCAGGUCAUUCAGUUGCCCCGUGGAACACCACCUCUCUCUUCUGUUUCAAGUUUUGAGUAAUUUGGAUUCUAUCCAAAUGGCCCAUUUUGUUCAUUGUUUCUGAAGGUCUUCCACAAUUUAAUUCCUUAGCUUUAGAAUGUGGAUCACAAUGCUGGGUUCACAUUUUCUGCUUGAGACCCUUGACUUUUAUCGUACUACAGAGACCAUAGAAUCUGUCAGCUCCAAGAUCACAGAAUCCAACAGCAAAGUGGAUCAGUAUGGCAAUGGUUUUGUGACAAAAGGAAGGUCCAGGAUGCUAAACUUCAAAGUGAUAAAGGACAUGGAUGCUUAAGAAAAUGCCACUUUGACCUGAUCAUAAUGUUAAUGGUGUGAAGAUCAAGGAGAGGAGAAAGAACAUGAAGCAUUCCAAACUACCCCUCAAAACCACCACACUCAGAGCCUGAAAGGAUCGCUUACCUCUGAGAGUACUCCAGAUAACUGUCAAGAGACCAGAGCAGAGAACAGAAGAGGAAGACAAGUUUGCAAAAACUGCUUGCAGGAGAUAGAAAGCUCUCAAAGUUACAGCUGAAGACUGCAAUUUCUUAUGGCUGAAAUGGCUCACUUUAGAUGUGUGCUGGUUAUCUUCUGAAUGCAAACUGGUCUGAUAGCUCCAUGGUUUUGGCUGUUGACAAAGCUGUUAUCACAUCUGAGGUGUUCUGUACAUGGAAGGAGAUGGAGGAAGUGGGAACCUUCUUGACCUGACUUCUACUGAGAACAGAUGAUCUGUGGAAAGAGGCCUUUACUGGUUUAAAAUCAAUAUCCUCACAAUAAUUUCUUGGCUGUACAGAUUUUUCAUGUCAGGUGCUAGUGCAUCUCUAACUUUGCACAUAAUACAAGCCAUAAAAUUGCUUCUCACUGGCCUAGCCAUAUUUUUUGUUGUCUCCUACCGCUGUACUCAUUGCUGUUUGGGAGUGGGGAAAUAGUUUUAACAUGUUCUGAUUUUCCACUUUUCUGCCUUUCUCCUGUUGCCUCUUUCUCAUACCCAGAACAGCACAGAAAGAAAUUUCUCAUUUAAAAAAAAAUCUCUAUCUUGGGGUUUUGUUUUUGCUUUAUUGUGCUGGAGUUUGAUUUCUUACAUGAUUGAAAUGUAAGAUAUCGUUGCAUUUUGCUUAAGGAGUGGGAAAUACUGGGGUGAGCUCCACUGCCCCCUUCACUCCAGAAGUCCUCAGAGGAAGCACCUGCUGCAGGUUCUGCUCCUGCACCUGCAUCUCCACACAGGUCAGCACAAAUGCAGAGCUGGGGUGAUGACAGCAGUGUCUCGCACUUUGUGCACCAGCACCUUAUCAGUACAAAGUUAUUGCUGUGAGUCCAGAUCAGUCUGUGGGUCUGCCCCACUGUGUCCCACAAAUGACACUUUGGGCACAACUUGAAAGAGAGCACAGGAGAUGGCCAGGAAGUUCUUAAUGUUCAGCUUUGAGUUUGUGCUUCUGUGUUGAGUUCAGGUGCCCUGGUGUGGGUGGCCCCAUGCGGGACGCAGCUGGUUCCAGGCAGCUCUGCAAUGGACACAGCACACAGCUGAGCAUAUCAGUGAAGCUGGGCCACCUCUGGGGAGGGGUCUGCAAGAAAGGGAAAAUGCUGCAUGGCAGAGGGGAGUGAGGAAGGAGGUGAAACAGCCCUCUCAGCACCAAGGUCAGAGAAGAAGGAAAGGGAGGAAUUGCUUCAGGUGCCAGAGCAGGUGUGUUCCCUGCAGACAACAGAGGAUCACAUGCCAGAGCAGGUGCAGAUUUUUCUGAAGGAACUGCAGUCCAUGGAGAGGAGCCAUGCCAAAACAGGUUUCUGCUGAAGGACUGCAGCCUGUGGAGAGGACCAUGAUGGAGCAACAGAAAGGAGCUGUUACAGACUGACUGACUGCAAUGUCCAUAUUCCUCUGUGCCUUGUGCUGCCUUGGACAAGGGGAGACCGAGAAGUUGGGUGUUCAAAGUGUGAAGUUGAGUCAGAGGAAAGAGGGCAACAGGAAGGGAAUGUGCUGUUUGAAUUUGCUUUCGUUUCUCAGUGCUUUAAUCCAUUUUAAUUGGCAAUAAAUUAAAUUAGCUUUCCUCAUAUUGAUUCAAAUAUUGCAAUUUACAUCUGGAUGCAAGUCACGGUGGAAAAUCCUGAUGUCUGUUUGAUAACUGCAAGUCACUAUUGCCUUUAAUUUUUUAUUUUUAAGAUUCAUUUUGUGUGAAGGAAGUAGUGUACCUUGUCUGAAUCAGGAAUUGCAUUUCUGGAUGUAUUCUGGUUAGGCCUUUCAAGUCCAGCAUACUCACUCCACUAGAGUAGAUCUCAGGUGGAGAAUUAACUCAGGAACACGUCUCAUCCCUUACAUUUCAGCUGGAAAACAAUACCAGACAUAUUUUUACAGGUUUGAGCAUGGGAGAGUCAUUCUGAGGAGAGGAUGCUGCAGCAGUAGAUUCUACUUUAUAUACUUUGGUAAAGCUGUUCUUACAGGUGCUAAGGGUGUGGUAUUUUCCCAGUGUUUUGUCUAGCAGUGCUUCAGAAUGGGGCAAAGUUUGUGGUGAGUGGCAUCUUUAGUGAAAGUGCUGUUAACUUUGGGAAAAGAAAUAAGCAGAGUUUGGCAAUGAGAUUUAUAUUCUUGUGCUUUCCAGAGAUUAUUUUCCUGAAUAAGAAGGGAACUUCCUUUAGAGGGUAAGUUUUAUAUGUAUGUUCUUAUACCACCUUUGGAAAAUACCUGGCACUGGACACCAAGGGUACCUAGACAGGGUACUAGGUGACAUGACACACUUACCGGUUUAUAAUAGGGGCACUGGAAUAUAAAAUUGAUGGAUAGCUUCCUAACAUUAGCUAAAAUAAUCUUUUCAUCCUCUCUUCACAUUUCACUGUAAAGGGAAGAGUCUCUGUUAAAGGGAACAUGGUGAAUUGUUGGUUGUCCAUAAAACUGUUUAUCAACAGUUGGAUGAAAAGGACUUCUUUGAUAAUUAGUUAGAUGAGCUUCAGAAAAGAAUCUAUUGUCAUUGUAACUUCAAGUAUUUUCUUCCAAUUGUAUCAUUCACUAUUGAUUAUUGUAUUAUUGUUUAUUUGCUGUAUAAUUUAUUUGUUAAGCUUUUCUGGCCAUGUCAGGGCCCUAGAAGUAAUACAUAUGGCAAUUGUCUUUUCUUUUUAAGUUUUAUAAAAGGGAAAGGAAUUCUUAAUUUUUUUUAUUUAGCCACCAGCUGCUCUGAAAAAGUCCAUGAUUAUCCAUGCUUCAUAGCUACCAAAAAUAUUUUAUGCUGAAGUAUUCCAUAAACUUGAGAUUUUUCUUUAGAUCAGGCAAAGUGAAUUUAACAUCUUAAAAAAAAAAAGGCAGACUACGCUGGAACCAAAUCUAGCAUUUUCAGGAGCUAUGACCUAGGGUUCAUCAGUUGCAAUUGUAAAAAAGAUUGAUGUUUUCAUAGAGAAAUGGUUUUAUUCAUCUAGUUUAAUCUAUGAACAAAAGUUUCUCGAUUCCUCUUAUUUCAGACUUCUGAACUCCUUUGCAAAAUGAGAGAUUGCUAGUGAGAUUAGCUAAUAACUGCAAAAAUGGAAAAAAUUUCACUGGGGACAGGUGCUAACAAGAUGUACCAUAAAGUCAGCCAGCAUAAUUAACAUUAGUAAGGUAAGAAGUUUCAGAGAUUAACUACAGCCUAAUACUUUUGAUGGUACACUGAUGUUUAUUCUGAUCUUGCAAACAAAAAUAAUGUUUAUGAGCCAUUGCAGAAAGAACUGGGAAAUAAAGCACUUUCUGA